UCAGACGGCCGGAUGGCUGCGCUCGGGCGGGCAACCGCGCGGGUGAGGAAAGUCCGGGCUCCACGGAGACACGGUGCCGGAUAACGUCCGGCGGGGGCGACCCCAGGGAAAGUGCCACAGAAAACAGACCGCCUGCCUGGUUCGCCAGGCCGGCAAGGGUGAAACGGUGGGGUAAGAGCCCACCGCGCGACCGGCAACGGAAGCGGCACGGCAAACCCCACCGGGAGCAAGACCAAAUAGGGGCGACACGCCGGGCAACCGGCAG
rnacentral:RNase_P_RNA from 1 species